rnacentral:rRNA from 1 species
UACGAACCGCGCAAACGUUGUUCGGAAUUACUGGGCUUAAAGGGUGCGUAGGCGGCGUAGUAAGUUGGGUGUGAAAUCCCUCGGCUCAACCGAGGAACUGCGACCAAAACUACUGUGCUCGAGGAAGACAGAGGUGAGCGGAACUUAGGGUGGAGCGGUGAAAUGCGUUGAUAUCCUAAGGAACACCCGUGGCGAAAGCGGCUCACUGGGUCUUUUCUGACGCUGAGGCACGAAAGCUAGGGUAGCGAACGGG